GCUGGCCGCAUCGCCGCCACAGAGAAGUCGCGCCGCCGCCGCUCGAGUCCACACCCAGCGUCCCAUCCGCUCGAUUCCAUACCUCUACCCGCCGCUCUAGUCCACAGCCCACGCCGCCUCCUAUCGGCGCUCGAAUCCACUCGUCCACCGGCCGCAUGAUCUGCCGCCCGUGUCCACGGACGGAAGACAGGGAGACGGCGGGAGCGCAGGACAUCACCUCCGCCCGACCAUUACCUUGGACGCUGCUUCUCCACAAUCUGGCGGCGGGGGCCGCUACUUCUCCACGUCGUCAGACCACGGCAGCUAAGGUUUGAGAGAUCGAGCUUCAGAACUCCCUGCUGUGCCUCUCUUUUAAUUUUGUCUUUAAAGGACCACACGACGCGUUCCAUUACAUAAUAGUACUGGGUAUAUCGCUGGAUCAUAAUGUUCAGAAUUCAGAAUUCCAUUGCCUUCACACAGUGCCAAUUGUGUUUCCCAUAACUUGUGAAAAACUAACCUGCCACAUCUCAAUGCCUUGUUGUGCUGUUAGAGCUGCAAAUGAAAUCUUGCAUUUAGAGCGUUGUGAGUCACAACGCAUACUGCAGAAUAUGAUGUCGACUUUGGCUUAGCUCAGUAUUACAAAAUUAUUCCGAAAUCAAUAUGCAUGCUGCAACAUUAUCAUUUAGAUCAGGAUGUAUUCCUGAGAACCCCAAUCCUCUGUCUGCAACCAUUAGAACAGACAAUUUUAUUACCUCUGUCAUAAAAGGCACAACCAUGUAUUUUGCGUUGAGGCCAUCAGUGCGAAAUUAAUUAUGUAUUAUAAUAAAUAAGUUGUUUGAAAGUACUGAUGGUUCAAUACAAUUUCAACUUUUUAGCAUUAUAAUAAAUUCACUAAUGACAUUUGCUACUUUAACACAACGAGUCGAUGGAUCUAACAGCCAUUAAAAAGUUACUCAGUUCUCGUAGACCAAGUGCAGACUACUUGGCUGGCGUAGAUGGUUUCCUUGAUUUUGCAUACAUUGGAAAAAGUUCAGAUGCCAAGAUCCAUUGUCCAUGCGUCAGAUGUGUCAAUAGGAACUUGUUGAAGCGAGGCACCGUAUAUGAUCAUUUGGUGUGUAAUGGAAUGCUACUUGGAUACACAGUUUGGGGUUGUCAUGGUGAAACUGCAGGAUACAUCUCCUCUAACAAACGAAAAAGGUCAAAACAGGAAGGCAUAAACUCUAAUAUGCGCCAGCUAGUCCAUGAUGUUUUCGGGAACAUAGAUAAUGGGUCUCAAGUGAAUGACUUCGAUGACCCAAACCCACCAGAACAUGGACCAGAUCCUGAAACCCAAUCUUUUUAUGACUUGUUGAGAGAUGCAGAUGUACCUUUGUGGGACGGGUGUGAACUAUCAAAACUUUCUUUCCUUGUGCUUCUGUUCAACAUAAAAUCCAGUAACAAGUGGAGUAAUAAAUCUAUAAAUGAUUUGCUAGCAGUUCUACAACAAGCAAUUCCAAAUGGCAAGAAUUUACCUGGAACUUUUGCCAAGGCCAAGAAGAUCAUUGGAAAGCUUGGGCUUAGUUAUGAGAGAAUUCAUGUUUGUGAAAAAGAUUGUCAGCUUUUUUGGAAAGAGAAGGCUAAUGAUGACUUUUGCUCAGUAUGUGGAGCAUCAAGGUGGAAAAACAAACCUGAUAAAACCGUGCUAACUAACAAGGAAAGGAAAAAAGCAACCCCGAAGAAGGUGCUCCGGUACUUCCCUAUUAAGCCAAGGCUUAAGAGGCUUUUUAUGCACAAGGAAACUGCUAUAGCAUUAAGAUGGCAUGAUGAGGAACGCAUAAAAGAUGGAGCAUUGCGACAUUUAGCUGAUUCAGCGGCAUGGAAGGAGAUUGACUCUAAGUAUAAGCACAUCAGAUCAGAUUCUCGAAAUAUUAGAUUCAUAAUCACAGCUGAUGGAUUUAAUCCGUUUGGUAAGCUGAAUAGUAAACAUAGUUGCUGGCCUGUUGUCCUAGUACCAAAUAACCUUCCACCAUGCUUGUGCAUGAAGGCAUCUUCUCUUAUGCUCACUCUGCUUAUUCCUGGUCCAACUUACCCUGGAAAGAAUUUCCAUGUAUUCAUGCAACCAGUUUAUGAAGAACUAACCGAGCUGUUUAUGGUAGGAACACAUACAUAUGAUGCAUCUCGAGGUGAGAUGUUUCAACUUUAUGUUGUUGUGUUGUCUACUGUGAGUGACUACCCCGGGCUAGCUCUCUUUGCAGGAUAUAGCGUAAAUGGUGAGUUUGGUUGUUUUCCAUGUCGUGAUGAAACAUGUUCUAAACACUUGAAAUAUGGGCAGAAGUACUGUUUCAUGGGGCAUCGCCGAUUUCUGCCCCCAGAUCACAAAUUCCGUUUUGAUGCUAGAUCGUUUGAUGGUUCUGAAGAACAUAGAGCGGCACCUAGUGCUUAUGCGGAAACUAGAGUUGUAGAUCAAAUAAAAUCAAUUUCAGAUUUUCAGAAAUCCAAAACAUGGAAGUGUGUCAGUGGCCUAUUCAAUUUGCCUUAUUGGGACUUCAAUUUACUUCGUCACAAUCUUGAUAUCAUGCAUAUUGAGAAGAACGUAUGUGAAAACAUAUAUGGAACACUUCUAGGAAUAGAAGGCAAGUCCAAAGAUAAUUUAAAGGCACGACAAGACCUACAACACAUGAACAUUAAACGAGAGCUGCAUCCACAAAAAAACCUAAUGAUAAGUAUUAUCUGCCACCUGCUUCCUAUAACCUAUCUAAAGAAGGGAAGCAACAAUUUUGCAAAGUCCUUCAUGGUGCAAGGGGUCCGAAUGGGUUUUCAGGAAACAUCUCAAGAUGUGCAAAUGUUGUUCAAGGGAGAAUCUCGGGCCUUAAAAGUCAUGAUUGUCAUACACUAAUGCAACACUUUCUACCACUUGCUAUUCGAGGUCUACUCCCAGAUCAUGUCACAUCUGUGUUGUUCGACCUGUGUGGGUAUUUUAGAGAAGUGAGUGCAAAAGUCCUAUACAUCAGCGAUCUUGAGAAGUUGGAGGAGCGAAUCAUAAUGACAUUAUGUCAUAUGGAGAGAAUAUUCCCACCAGGUUUUUUCACUGUUAUGGUGCAUUUGGUUAUGGAUCUAGCAACGGAGGCAAAAAUAGGUGGUCCAGUGUGCUACCGUUCGAUGUGGUUUGUGGAAAGGUAUAUAGGUAAGCUGAAGUCAAAUGUCCGUAACAAAGCUCGUCCCGAAGGAUCUAUCGCUGAAGCAUUUUUGGCAGAUGAGUGCAUGACAUUCUGUUCAAGAUAUAUUGUCGGUUUUGAGACCAAACAUAACUUGCCUUCGCAGAACGAAGAUAACGACGAGUGGGUUGGGCAUCAUGAUAUUGCACAUGGAUCAAGAUUAUUUCCACAUUCUGGCAAUCCACUUGGAAAGCCUAGGAAUUAUGUACUGAGCGGUGUGGAAAAAGUACAGGCACAUAAAUAUGUCUUGUUCAAUUGCUCUGAUGUGAAUUCAUACCUUAGGGCUCAUGCUGAUGAGAUCACUAAUGGACGCAAUUUAAACCCUGAUGUUGUCGAGAGGAUUCAAAAUGAUAAGUUCCACGAAUGGUUCCAAGCUCAUAUAAGGAAAUUGGAGAAGGAAAAUGGCAUCCACAACAUUGAAAAGGAUAUUAGAUUGCUCGCCCGGGGCCCAGUUAAUGCAGCCAAAAGAUAUUGCGCUUUCAACUCCCGAGGCUACCAUUUUAGGCCUAAACGCUUGGAUAAAGAGACACAAAAUAGUGGAGUCAUGGUAACUGCAAAAACUUCUAGUUAUGCUUCAGCACGUGAUGCCAAUCCUGUUUUACGUGAUGUGACGUACUACGGGAGGGUAAUUGAUAUUGUCGAGCUAAACUACUCUGGACAGUUUUCAGUGGUGUUGUUUAAAUGUGAAUGGGUUAAUGUGUUCUCAGAAACAGGAAUGAAAAAAGACAAGUACUGUUACACACUUGUCAACUUCUCACAUCUAAUACACAAAGGAGAAAAGAUUGAGCAUGAGCCUUUUAUUUUCCCUAACCAGGCGAAUCAAGUGUUAUAUGUGGAAGAUGAAUUGAAUCCAGGUUGGUCUGUGGUAAUGAAGUUGCCAAAGCCUAGAGAUGUAUAUGACUUAGGCAACUUGGAAUGGGAAGCGCAGACAGAAAAUGAGCCAUUCCAUGUUUCACAGCUUGGAGAGAGUUUGAAAAUAAAGAACAAUGAAGAACAUUGGGUUAGAACAGACGUUGAGGGGACAAUAGUGGAUGCUAAUAAUGCUUCGAGCAACGAAGAAUAACUGAGGUUCAGACUGCAUGCUACAUGGAGGGGGUGGUCGGCUGUGUGCUUUGUGUUAGUACAAAACAGCCUACUCUUUUCUGCUUGCUGGCUUUCUGUUGACUACUUGACCAACUUGCUUGGUGAUAUACUGCUGUCUGAGACCAUGUGUUGGUCAAAACAUAGUAUACUCUUAUAUUCAUGCUUGGUAAUUCGGUCAGCUGCAACACCACAUGCUUGUUUGGAACAUCAUUUUGUACUUUGGUCAACAACAGUUCAGAAUUGAGAUACA